GUUGUAGUAAAUCCUGCGACCAGGUUUGACAGCCUGAAUGUACAUGCGGACAACCGCUAACUCCGUAAUGCGGUAUUUUU
rnacentral:sRNA from 2 species